CCUACGGGUGGCAGCAGUGGGGAAUAUUGCACAAUGGGGGGAACCCUGAUGCAGCGAAGCCGCGUGAGUGAAGAAGUAUUUCGGUAUGUAAAGCUCUAUCAGCAGGGAAGAAAAUGACGGUACCUGACUAAGAAGCGCCGGCUAACUACGUGACAGCAGCCGCGGGCAUACGUAGGGGGCAAGCGUUAACCGGAUUUACGGGGUGUAAAGGGAGCGCAGACGGCUGUGCAAGGCUGGAGUGAAAGGCGGGGGCCCAACCCCCGGACGGCUCUGGAAACGGUAAGUCUGGAGUGCAUGAGAGGUAAGCGGAAUUCCUAGUGUAGCGGUGAAAUGCGUAGAUAUUAGGAGGAACUCCAGUGGCGAAGGCGGCUUACUGGACUGCAACUGACGUUGAGGCUCGAAAGCGUGGGGAGCAAACAGGAUUAGAUACCCCUGUAGUC
rnacentral:rRNA from 1 species